rnacentral:rRNA from 1 species
GAUGAACGCUGGCGGCGUGCCUAAUACAUGCAAGUCGAGCGAACGGACGAGAAGCUUGCUUUUCUGAUGUUAGCGGCGGACGGGUGAGUAACACGUGGAUAACCUACCUAUAAGACUGGGAUAACUUCGGGAAACCGGAGCUAAUACCGGAUAAUAUUUUGAACCGCAUGGUUCAAAAGUGAAAGACGGUCUUGCUGUCACUUAUAGAUGGAUCCGCGCUGCAUUAGCUAGUUGGUAAGGUAACGGCUUACCAAGGCAACGAUGCAUAGCCGACCUGAGAGGGUGAUCGGCCACACUGGAACUGAGACGCGGUCCAGACUCCUACGGGAGGCAGCAGUAGGGAAUCUUCCGCAAUGGGCGAAAGCCUGACGGAGCAACGCCGCGUGAGUGAUGAAGGUCUUCGGAUCGUAAAACUCUGUUAUUAGGGAAGAACAUAUGUGUAAGUAACUGUGCACAUCUUGACGGUACCUAAUCAGAAAGCCACGGCUAACUACGU